CGUUCUGGAACCCUAAUCCGGCUUGGUCACAACAUCGUGUUCUUCGUUCUUCUCUGUGCGGCGGAAGAGACGAUCGGUGUUCUGUAACCGUAAGCGUUGUGAUUACAGCCUUAACUCCUCUUAAUUCGUCCGCCCACUACGUAACCUUCGAUUGAUUUGGAUUGGUAUCUGUAUAAAUAUGUGGUUUUUUCUCCGACUUGAAGUCCGGCAAGUGCUCCGACGUCGUCGAGGCUCGGCUUCUGCGUUUCUGGGAAGCCAGAAAUAUAUUUGUAUUAAUCGAUCUUUUCCUCCUGGUUGAUGUGAAUAUAAGUUAAUUUCCAGAUUUCAUUUUUGUAUUAAUCAAUCUUUUCCUCCUGUUUAUUGGAACCGUAUUGUGAUUAUUGAUUUCAUAUUUGUAUUAAUCGAUCUUUUCCUCCUGCUUA